rnacentral:misc_RNA from 1 species
UCGUAACAAGGUUUCCGUAGGUGAACCUGCGGAAGGAUCAUUAAAGCGUUGCCGACGUCGGCCCCGGCCGUUCGGCUUGAAAUAUAGCCUGGACGGUGCUGGAGGUCGCCGGCAGUUGCCCAUUCUUGCCUACUGACCCAGUUGCCUCGGCGAGCCGUGCCACUCGUGGCAGACCGGAAGCCGUUUGAACCCCUAGGGCUCAGGCGGCCCUGGCCAGUGCCCGCCGACGGACAGACUUAAAAUCUUUAUAUAUUGGCCGUCUGAGCGUAUAAAGCAAAUCAAUUAAAACUUUCAACAACGGAUCUCUUGGUUCCGGCAUCGAUGAAGAACGCAGCGAAAUGCGAUAAGUAAUGUGAAUUGCAGAAUUCCGUGAAUCAUCGAAUCUUUGAACGCACAUUGCGCCCCCUGGUAUUCCGGGGGGCAUGCCUGUUCGAGCGUCAUUGCAACCCUCAAGCUCGGCUUGUGUGAUGGGCGACCGUCCUUCCCCUAGGGGCGGGACGCGUCCGAAAAGCAGUGGCUAGGCCGCGAUUCCGGCGCCUGAGCGAAUGGGACUUCCACCGCUUCUAGGACCGGCCGGCACUUGGCCUUUAAACACGGUCUUAACUGACCAUCUAGGUUGACCUCGGAUCAGGUAGGGAUACCCGCUGAACCUAAGCAUAU